AGCUUGAUAGCUCAGUUGGCUAGAAUAUGGUGCUGAUAACACCAAGGUUGCAGGUUCAGUCCCUGUGUAGGGCA